rnacentral:lncRNA from 1 species
UAUUAUUAAAGCAAUUUAUUUAUUUAUUUAUUUAUUUUACCUACUGAGGUAAGAGUGAGGCCAUACACAAAAACAGGGUAUCAAAGUACAGCCAUUCAUCGAGACAGCCUUUCAAAGCCCGAUGUACAGUGAUAAUCUUGCAACUGGAUAUUAAGGGUUCCUAACUAUUAAAUCACAGCUUCCUAAAUGAUCCAUCUACCAAAAGAAAUAGCAGCUAGUCCUCUACUUUUUCGGUCUGAAUAAUAAUACACAAUGAAAACAAUUUAGUGCACUGCUACUAACACCAAUUCAAUCCUGUGGAUGCUGCCCCAAUGGUGUCUUAAGUUUUGCACAGAACCUGACAAACCUGUCAACUGUAUUGCUCACAAGAAAAUGCCAUCCCUCAGAGAACCCAGGUAUUGCCAAUGUCUUAAGCAUUUCUUUUCUCAACAUAAAAGAUGAGGUGAUGUUACAUCCAUCUCAAUGGCACAGUACCAACAGACAGCUCUAGUAACAAUAAAUGUCAACUUGAUACCAGUAUUUCUUACCAACCACUUGGCAGAUACAAAUGAAUCUUCUAAUACGGUCGUUUCAUAGGUUCAAAAGCCAAGUGAAGAAAUCACCAACCACUUGGCAGAUACAAAUGAAUCUUCUAAUACGGUCGUUUCAUAGGUUCAAAAGCCAAGUGAAGAAAUCCUGGGAUUUCCCAAAUUCUCGACUAGGAAAAGAAGUGUCUUAAUACCUGAACCAUGCUCAUCAUCAGUGACACCAGAACUAAGAUACCUCCUAUGAAUAAUCUGAGAGUAGUCGAAUUAAAAUUUUCUGUUGGCUUGGACUCGGCAAGAGGCUUGAUGGGCAGAGAAGCAAGCUAUGAAAGGAUUGUUGUAUCUGGCCAUGAGUCAUAUUCAAGCAAUCCUCAAAUGGAUUAAAAUUAUUGUGCUGGAGAGGAAUGGUUUGGAACACCGGAGUGGAUGAGCACCAGUUGUGAAGCAAGAGAGCAGUAGGCAAGUUAUUAGAGCUUUGGCAACAAUGAGUGGAUGAAACAGCAUUUGGUGAGAGAGAUGAUAGAGAGCCAUUGUUUG